rnacentral:rRNA from 1 species
UACGGAGGGGGCUAGCGUUGUUCGGAAUUACUGGGCGUAAAGCGCGCGUAGGCGGCUUUGUAAGUUAGAGGUGAAAGCCCGGAGCUUAACUCCGGAACUGCCUUUAAGACUGCAUCGCUAGAAUUGUGGAGAGGUAAGUGGAAUUCCGAGUGUAGAGGUGAAAUUCGUAGAUAUCGGGAGGAACGCCAGUGGCGAAGGCGGUCACCUGGGCCGUCCCUGACGCUGAGACGCGAAAGCUGGGGGAGCGAACGGG